AUCUGGUGUUAGCAGGCAGGGUUUUGUUGUAGUUUGUUAUAGUUAUGUGCAUGACUGAACACACUCCACUUUUGUAAGGUCUUUGCAUAUUUCCUCAUACAUUUCACUGUGGCACAUGAGCCAAGAAACAAGGAAUGGGUGAUUUACUACCUAAAAAUAGGCAAUCAACAUUUAAUAUGGAAGGACUGAAGGGAAGAAGGAAUAUAAAGAGAGGGAAGAAGGAAUUUGGAAAUAAAUAAAUAAUAAAUCAGGGAGUUCCUAUUUUGGGACUACAGACAGUCAUUAUGAUUCAUAAAUGGGAUGACUGAGGCAAGAGGACUGGACCUGCAUGGUCUUGGUUGCCCCUUCCUGAGGCUCGGGUAUACAAAGCUGAUCUCCAGGAAGAAGACAGAUUAUUUAUAUAAGAAAGCCAGGACUGCCGGGCGUGGUGGCUCACACCUGUAAUCCCAGCACUUUGGGAGGCUGGGGUGGGCGGAUCACCUGAGGUCAGGAGUUGGAGACCAGUCUGAUCAACACGGUGAAACCCUGUCUCUCCUAAAAACGCAUAAAUUAGCCGGGCGUGUUGGUGCACGCCUGUAAUCCCAGCUACUCGGGAGGCUGAGGCAGGAGAACCGCUUGAACCCGGGAGGCAGAGGUUUCGCUUGAACCCGGGAGGCAGAGGUUUCGGUGAGCUGAGAUCGAGCUAUUGCACUCCAGCCUGGGCAACAAGAGCGAAACUCCACC
rnacentral:lncRNA from 1 species